ACUUAUCCUUAGGUAUUUCAUAUUUUUUGAUAUUUUUGUGAAUGCUUGCUUUUUAAAAUUUCGUUUUUGACUGAUCAUUGCUAGUAUAUAGAAAUAAAAUUGAUAUUUGUGUAUUGAUCUUGUAACCUGCAACCUUUCUAAAUUCACUUAGUUCUAGCAGUGUUUUUUUUUUCCUUUUGUAGAUCUCAUCAGAUUUUCUUCAUAGACAAUCAUAUUGUCUGAGAAUAUAAGAUUUUAACUUCUUUUUUCCUCCAAUCUGGAGACUUUUUAUUUGUUUAUCUUUCCUGAUUGCACUGACUGGAACCGCCGAUACAACGUUGAAUGGAAGUGGUCAGAGCAGACAUUUUUGUAUUGUUCCUGAUCUUAUGGAGGAGCACUUUCUGUCUUUCACCUUUAAGUAUGAUGUUAGCUGUAAAUGUUCCGCAGAAGCCCUUUAUCAGGUUGGGGAGUUCACUUCUAUUCCCAGUUUACUGAGAAUUUUUGUCAGGAAUGGAAGUUGAAUUUGUCAAAUGCUUUUUCUGCAUCUAUUGAGAUGAUGACAAUAUGAAUUUUCUUUCUUAAUAUAACAAAUUACAUUGAUUGCUUUUUGAAUAUUAAACCAACCCUGCAUUCUUGGGGUAAACCCCAGUUGUUAUGUAUUAUCCUUUAAAAAUAUUUUUGUAUUCGAUUUGCUAAAAUUUGUUUUGCAUUUGUGUUCAGGAGCCCAUGCCUGAAAGCUCUGGGGUGAUUAGAUGCCAAUAGCACCAACAGUUUUUCUUCUGUGGCACUAAGGACAAGAUAGAACAGUUGGCGUUCAUAACAGAUCUUCAAGAAGGAAUGGAAGAACACUUGAAAUGCAUUAUUCUCAACAGCCAAGACAUGGAAGCAACCUAAGUGCCCACUGACUAAUGAUUGGAUAAAGAAGACAUGGUAUUAUAUAUACAUAUAAUAGAAUACUACUCAGCCAUAAAAAAAGAGAAAAUUGUCCCAUUCACAACAAAAUGGAUGGACCUUGAGGGUAUUAUAUUAAGGGAAAUAAGCUAGAUGGAGCAAGACAAACACUGUAUGAUUCCACUCAUCUAUGGAAGAUAAACAAACACAUGGACAAAAAGAACUAUUUAGUGGUACCGGGGGAACAAAGGUGGG
rnacentral:lncRNA from 1 species